rnacentral:rRNA from 1 species
AUUGAACGCUGGCGGCAGGCCUAACACAUGCAAGUCGAGCGGAGGGGCGGACGGGUGAGGGAUGCCUAGGUAUGUGCCUGGUAGUGGGGGAUAAGGUCAGGAAAUGGGCGCUAAUACCGCUUACUCUCAGAUGAGCCUCGGCCGGAUUAGCUAGUUGGUGGGGUAAAGGCCCACCAAGGCGACGAUCCGUAACUGGUCUGAGAGGAUGAUCAGUCACACUGGAACUGAGACACGGUCCAGACUCCUACGGGAGGCAGCAGUGGGGAAUAUUGGACAAUGGGCGAAAGCCUGAUCCAGCCAUGCCGCGUGUGUGAAGAAGGUCUUCGGAUUGUAAAGCACUUUAAGUUGGGAGGCGUUACCAACAGAAUAAGCACCGGCUAACUUCGUGCCAGCAGCCGCGGUAAUUC